rnacentral:rRNA from 1 species
GACGAACGCUGGCGGCGUGCUUAACACAUGCAAGUCGAACGGAGUGGUGAACGGGUGAGUAACACGUGGGUGACCUGCCCUGCACUUCGGGAUAAGCCUGGGAAACUGGGUCUAAUACCGGAUAGUGUGGGAUGGGCCCGCGGCCUAUCAGCUUGUUGGUGGGGUAAUGGCCUACCAAGGGGGCGACGGGUAGCCGGCCUGAGGGGGGGGACGGCCACAUGGGGACUGAGACACGGGCCAGAAUCCUACGGGAGGCAGCAGGGGGGAAUAUUGCACAAUGGGCGGAAGACUGAUGCAGCGACGCCGUGUGGGGGAGGACGGCCUUAGGGGUGUAAACUACUUUCACCAUCGACGCGGUAGAUGGAGAAGAAGCACCGGCUAAAUACGUGCCAGCAGCCGCGGUAAUAC